UUCUUUUAUUCUUGUUUGAGCCUCUAUUCUUCUUUGCCACCUCCUCUGCUCUUUUCUGUUUAACACCCUUGGAAAUCUCAAGACCCUACUGUUUGAGAUGUGAUUGCUGUGGAAUGUGUUAUUACCGUCUCUCACCCAGACCAUUGUAAUAACCUCCUAAAUAAUCUCCGCUCCUUUCUCUCCCUUUGGAGAGGAAACAAUAUUAUUAUUUUGUAUUAUUAUUCAAAAUCUUUGUAUGUCUUUGUUAGGGUUUCCCUCCUCCCUGUGGGAGAAUUGUGCUCUUGUCUUUUGAUGUCGGACUUGACCCCAUGAUUUCCUCUGGUCAAUGAAAUGUAAUUAGAAGUAACUCAGGGCACUUGUGAGCAGAAGGUUUAAGAGGCAGCACCUGGUUCACUCUGUCUUUUUCCCUUCGCUAUGAGACUGGCAAGGUUCCAGAUAGCAACUGUUCUAGCAGCCAGGGUCCUGGAGAGAAGUCAACAUGAAGCAGAGCCACAGAUACGCCACAGAUAAGCUUAUGUAAUGAAGUAGAGACGGGUUUUCACCAUGUUGGCCAGCCCGGUCUUGAACUCCGUCAGCCUCCCAAAGUGCUAGGAUUAACAGGCGUGAGCCGGCACGCCCGGCCUCCCCGCUGAAUCCUUUCUUCAUUUUAUCAUAAUCCUUCUAAAUACACUUUCGGGAACUUUAAAAGAUGCCUACCACCAUUUGUCUCUCAUGAAGAUGUGAACUGCGACUGGAAACAGCUCAGUCUCUCACAGAUAGGAUCUCGCUGAUGCCCUGGAUACUGCCACAAGGGAUUCGCGUGGGCUGGAGUGCAGUAGCACCAUCACAGCUCACUGCAGCUGCAGGAUCACAGUUCAUUGCCCCUUCAACUUCCUGGCCUCAAGCCAUCCUUCUGCCUUGGCCUCCUGAGUAGCUUGGACUACUGGUGCUAGCCACCAUGCCCAGGAGGAUGAAAUUUAACCACAUCAAAGAAACCUACAGCUCUGAUACUCUCAGAAAAAAUAAGACUCAACACAAAGAGAGUAAAAAGAGUUAUUCUGUCAACGAAGGGUCUUGACCGAAUAAUGUAUACAUCAGAUCUUUUCAUCUUGCACUUCUUGGACACUGUGAUUCAAAAGGGAGAUUAUUUGUGUCAGUAAAGAAGUAUCCAUAAUGAUAAAACACAAGUACUUCAAAGAACAACCUGUGCUUCUCAAAAGGAAAAUAGUUUGGAUCCAUUUACUUUUCUCCUCUACUUCACAUUCUAAAUGACUGAGAAAAUGUCUUCUCGUUUUCAAUACAACCCAUGGGAAAUCAUACUCAAAUAAGUAGUAACUGAAUGAACUAAUCUGGAAAAGUGGUCCUCAAUUUGUUUCUGUAAUAUCAGCUAUCACAAUACUGCCUUGAUAUUUCAUACAAUUCUGCAGAGUAUAAAAAAGCAAAAGCCUCUAAAAGUUGGUACUAGAAUGUACUACACGCUCAAUAUAGACCACAAAAUGGAUCAGACAUGAAGCUUAGUAUUGUCUGUGUGCACAGUGUUUAAAUAUUCCCUUGUUUUAAAAGUGCCAGUGUUUGUUAAGUAACUUAAAAUAUUUGCCACAUGUAGCUUAUUUUUUUUACUUUUUAUUAUAUUUUUGUCAUAGGUAAAAAAGUGAAAAGAUUUAUGACAGUCAUUUUUUUAAAACUAAGUUAAGCUAUAUAAAUUGUUGUGAAAUAAAAUACAUUUUAAUUAUAUACAAUAAAGAUCCUAAUUUUAAUUUGCAAGUAUUUUCAAGAUUACAAGUAACGUUAUCAAUUGUUUUACUUAUAACAAUAUUCCUAGGGUGUCUACAUUUAAUAAUUCUAAGUUUUUAAAACAAUUUUAAACUAUUUCAUUUAACAGACAAUACAAACUAACUAAGAUAAAUUGAGAAAUAUAAAUAUCCCUCACCUGUGUUUUUAAAAUUAGAGACAACUUUUGUAUCAUUCCAGAUAUAAUUUAUACCUAUAUAAAUGUGUUUAUUUUAAAUGUGCCAUUUAAAAGAACUGGUUUAUGCUUUGAAAUGGCUGCAUAAUAUUCUACUCUACCUAGAUACCAUUAAAUAUUGAAUCAGCUCUCUAUUGUGUGUUUUUUGCUGUUGUUACUGACAGAUUUUGUAAUUACAAUGCAGAUUAAAAACUUGUUUUAAAAAAUGUGAUUUUGCUCAUAGACAUAUGUCUUUAGAAUACAUUCGUCAUAGUACAAUUGCUGAGACAAAGAGUUUACGCAUUUGGAAAUUUUAUAAAUAUUAUCACAUUGCUUUCUAUCAAUAUCAUCUCACAAGUAUAAUGACAAGUGAAAGAUACUAGGUAUGAACAUUUAUGUAGUAUUCAAAAGCAGAUAAGUUUAUUACCCUGUCAGAAGAUAGCAAAAUGAUUAACUUUAUGAAGGUUUCAAGCACUUAGUUUGAGGGAAGGCAGGAUAGGCAGUUUCAUGAGAAAGGUAUGUCCCAUCUCUUGAUCAGGGUGAAGUUUAAAUGGAGUUGUUUCCUUGAUGAUGCAUCAAAGUCACCACUUGAAAUUUGAUUACUUUUUAAUAUAUGCUAUACUUCAAAAUGUUUAUUAACAUGCAAAUCAUAUAAUGAAUUCCAUUAAUUUAGUGAGAGAAAUUUUUUUUAUAUGCUUCGAAGUCAUUUGUUUUGUUGUUUGCGUUUACUCAGAACAGUGUGUCAAUCUCCUUGACUGAUAUUUCUAUUGUUUCUAGCAGGUCAUUUAAUAGUUUAUAAUGUUUAUAUUUUCAAAGUUUAUUGGGGUGUAAUUUAUUUAUAAUACUGUACAUAUUUAAAGUUCAAAAUAAGUUAAGCCUUAACAUGUAUAUACAGCCAUGAACACAUAACCAUAAAGUAGGUCCUAAAUAUAUUCACCACUCACAAAUGUUUCCUUGUGAACCUUUGUCAUUCCACCCGCCCUUACUUCUUCCGCAUAAUCUCCAUCUAUAGCAACUACCAAUCUAUUUUCUGUUAUUAUAAAUUAAUGUGCAUUUUCUGGAAUUUUAUAUAAAUGGAAUCAUAUCAUAUGUACUUUGUUUUGUCUUGUUUUUUCAGUAAAAUUAUUUUGAGAUUCAUACAUGUUGUUACAUGUAUCAAUAGUUCAUUACUUUUUAUUGUUGAGUAGUAUUUCAUCAUAUGGAUAUGCCACAAUGUGUUCACACCUUAACAUAAAUUUGUCAAUGUAGUUUCCAGUCAUUGGUUAUUAAAUAUAAAGUUUCUUGAAAACUGAUCUAUAAGUAUUGAUAUGGAAUGUGAUUUCUUUUCUCUUGGGUAAAUUCCUGGAAGAAAAUUGGUUCUAUCAAAUGGUGUUUGCAUGUUUAACAGUUAUAGCCAAACCAUUUUCCAAAGUGGUUGUAAUAUUUUACAUUCCUCACAGCAGUGUAUGAGAAAUCAAAUUGUUCCAAAAGUUUGCUAAGACUUGUACAUUUAGAUGUAUCACCAAUUUUGGGUAAAUUUUUGUACUAAUUGUGAGUUGCAAUUGAGGUUCACUUUUUUAUAUGGAUACUCCUUUUUUUACACAAUACAUGUUGAAAGCAUCACCUUGUAUUAAUUGAACUGCCUUUGCAUCUUAUUAAAAUCAGUUUCAAUAUAUGUGAGGUUCUAUUUCUGAACUCUAUUCUCUGUUACAUUGAUUUAUGUGAACACUUUUUCACUGAAGCCACACUAUUUUGAGAACUGUAGUCUUGAAAUUGAGUAUUGGUAAUCCUCUAAAUGUGUUUGUUUUUAUAAAAAUUGUUUUGGCUAUUUAGAUCACUUUGCCAUUCAAAUAAAAUUUAAAAUCUGCUUGUUGAUAGCUACAGAAAAGUUACUGGCAUUUUAACUAGGAAUACAUUAAACUUAUAGAUAAGAUUGAGGAGAAUUGCCAUUUUAUUCUUCCAAUUAAUGGCUAUAUUACAUG
rnacentral:lncRNA from 1 species